GGUCCUGUAGCUCAGUUGGUUGGAGCGUUAGUUUUAUGAGCCGAAGGUUGUGAAUUCGAGCCUCGCUGGGACCA
rnacentral:tRNA from 1 species